AACUAACGCUGGCGGCGUGCCUAACACAUGCAAGUCGUACGAGAAAGUUGGCUUCGGCCGAUGAGUAAAGUGGCGCACGGGUGAGUAAUGCGUGGAUAAUCUGCCCUUUAGUUGGGAAUAACGUACCGAAAGGUGCGCUAAUACCUGAUAAUACUGCAUAACUACUGUUGUGUAGUCAAAGAAGGCCUCUGUUUACAAGCUUUUGCUGAAGGAUGAGUCCGCGUACCAUUAGCUGGUUGGUGGGGUAAUGGCCUACCAAGGCUACGAUGGUUAGCUGGUCUGAGAGGAUGAUCAGCCACACUGGAACUGAGACACGGUCCAGACUCCUACGGGAGGCAGCAGUAGGGAAUAUUGGGCAAUGGGGGGAACCCUGACCCAGCGACGCCGCGUGAGGGACGAAGUCCUUCGGUAGUGUAACCUACUGUUGUGGGGUAAGGAAGUACGAGUGACGGUACCGUCACGAGGAAGGACCCGGCCGAAACUAACGUGCCACGCAGCCGCGGUAAACGUACGUGGUCGGU
rnacentral:rRNA from 1 species